rnacentral:rRNA from 1 species
UACGUAGGGGGCGAGCGUUGUCCGGAAUUACUGGGCGUAAAGGGUGCGUAGGUGGCUAAUUAAGUUGGAUGUGAAAUACCCGGGCUUAACCUGGGGGGUGCAUUCAAAACUGGUUGGCUAGAGUGCAGGAGAGGGAAGCGGAAUUCCUAGUGUAGCGGUGAAAUGCGUAGAUAUUAGGAGGAACACCAGUGGCGAAGGCGGCUUUCUGGACUGUAACUGACACUGAGGCACGAAAGCGUGGGGAGCAAACAGGAUUAGAUACCCUGGUAGUCCACGCUGUAAACGAUGAAUACUAGGUGUAGGGGGUAUGAACUCCCCCUGUGCCGGAGCAAACGCAAUAAGUAUUCCGCCUGGGGAGUACGGCCGCAAGGUUGAA